UACAACAAAGGUGCAUGCUGGUGGAGAAGCUCUAUGGAUCUAAGUAGCAGCAAUGGAAGUGACAAAGAAUAACAAGGAGUAGGCAACAGGGCCAGUUACAGAGAAACAAGAUCCUGGCACUGACACUUGAAUCCUUAGUGCAGUGUCUGCUACUAGAGGCAAGUGUGAUCAGGAAGGAGAAUGGCAGACAGUACUUCUGCUUGAUGGUGCAAUUGAGCACCGUUCUGGACCUUACUAUUGGAUGGCAUUCAUAUUUCUGUAGAAAUACAUAGAAGGAGGAGGAAGCCGAGAGGACGGAGCAGACAUCAUAUUGCUUCAUAUGGACACAGCCAAAGAAAUUAGUCCAGUCUGUCAAAAUGACCUCUUGGGCUUUUCCCUAGCACCAGAAACUACAAGUCUUGGAGUCUUUCCAGAGGCAGCAAUGCAGCACUGCAAUCAGCAUGGGUCAUUCUUUACUUCACUUUUACCUGUUGUCAAAAAUCCAGCUUUACAUGACUCAAAUUUGCACUUAGACAUCAUAGGCAUUUCAAAGAGUGGCGAGAAGAUCCCACAGAUAACCUUAUACUGAUACCAGCCUGGCCCCAUCCAGGAGAUGUAAACCACACAUAAGUGAAGGAAGAGAAACAUCAAGCAUUUUUUUUUGAGAUAUGAG
rnacentral:lncRNA from 1 species